rnacentral:rRNA from 1 species
UACGGAGGAUCCGAGCGUUAUCCGGAUUUAUUGGGUUUAAAGGGUCCGUAGGCGGUUUUGUAAGUCAGUGGUGAAAGCCCAUCGCUCAACGGUGGAACGGCCAUUGAUACUGCAAGACUUGAAUUAUUAGGAAGUAACUAGAAUAUGUAGUGUAGCGGUGAAAUGCUUAGAGAUUACAUGGAAUACCAAUUGCGAAGGCAGGUUACUACUAAUUGAUUGACGCUGAUGGACGAAAGCGUGGGGAGCGAACAGG